rnacentral:rRNA from 1 species
CAGUCGCCACGGUAAUACAGAGGGUGCAAGCGUUAAUCGGAAUUACUGGGCGUAAAGCGCGCGUAGGUGGUUUGUUAAGUUGGAUGUGAAAGCCCCGGGCUCAACCUGGGAACUGCAUCCAAAACUGGCAAGCUAGAGUACGGUAGAGGGUGGUGGAAUUUCCUGUGUAGCGGUGAAAUGCGUAGAUAUAGGAAGGAACACCAGUGGCGAAGGCGACCACCUGGACUGAUACUGACACUGAGGUGCGAAAGCGUGGGGAGCAAACAGGAUUAGAUACCCCGGUAGUCCCUGUCUCUUAUAU